CAGUCGCCGCGGGAAUACAGAGGGUGCGAGCGUUAAUCGGAUUUACUGGGCGUAAAGCGUGCGUAGGCGGCUUCUUAAGUCGGAUGUGAAAUCCCUGAGCUUAACUUAGGAAUUGCAUUCGAUACUGGGAAGCUAGAGUAUGGGAGAGGAUGGUAGAAUUCCAGGUGUAGCGGUGAAAUGCGUAGAGAUCUGGAGGAAUACCGAUGGCGAAGGCAGCCAUCUGGCCUAAUACUGACGCUGAGGUACGAAAGCAUGGGGAGCAAACAGGAUUAGAUAUCCCAGUAGUCCCUGUCUCUUAUAC
rnacentral:rRNA from 1 species